CCCCAGCGCCCCGAGUGGGAAUCACGAUUAUUGGGUCUAAAGCGUUCGUAGCAGGCUAUGUAAAUCCCUUGUGAAAUUGUCCGGCUUAACUGGACAGCGUGCAGGGGACACUGCAAAGCUCGAGACCGGGAGAGGUUAGAAGUAUUCCUUGGGUACCGGUAAAAUGGGUUAAUCCAAGGAGGACUACCAAUGGCGAAGGCAUCUGACCAGAACGGUUCUGACUGUGAGGAACGAAAGCUAGGGGAGCAAAACG
rnacentral:rRNA from 1 species